rnacentral:tRNA from 1 species
GUCGGGAUAGCUCAGUUGGUAGAGCAAAGGACUGAAAAUCCUCGUGUCAAAAAUUAAAAAAA